UUAUGGUUUAAAAAAUUUAUUUUAAAUUUAUUUUACAUAUAAAUUUUAGUGUUAAAUUAAAUUUAUUUUAAUAAUAAUUUAAAUAAAAUAGUAGUAAUUAAUAUUAAAUAUUUAAGAAAUUAAGAUUUAGUAAUAUAUAAAUUAAUAACAAAUUUUGUGCCAGCAGUUGCGGUUAAACAAAAAUUAAAUUAAAUUUUAUUAGUUAAUUAAUAAAUAAAUUUAUUUAUAAUUUAAAAUUUAAAUUAUAAGGUGAAAUUUUAAUUUAAUAAAAUAUUAUGAAAAUUUUAUGAUUUAAUAAAUUUUAAUAAAAACUAGGAUUAGAUACCCUAUUAUGAAAAAUUUUAAAAUUAAAAUACUAAAAUAGUAAAUAAUUAUUUAUUGAAACUUAAAUAAUUUGGCGGUAUUUUAGUUCAUUUAGAGGAAUCUGUUUAAUAAUUGAUAAUCCACGAAUAAAUUUACUUAAUUUUUAAUUUUGUAUAUCGUUGUUAAAAAAAUAUUUUUAUUAAAAAAUAAUAUUUAAAAAUUAAAAUGAAAAUUAAAUCAAAUCAAGAUGCAGAUUAUAAUUAAGAAUAUAAUGGAUUACAAUAAAUUUAUUUAAAUAAAUAUUAAUUUGAAAAAAUUAAUUGAAAGUGGAUUUAAAUGUAAUUUUAUUUAAUUUAAUAAAAUGAUUAAAAAUUAAAAUAUGUACAUAUUGCCCGUCGCUUUCAUAUAUAUAUAUAUAUAUAUAUAUAUUAAAAUAAAAUGAAAUAAGUCGUAACAAAGUAGAGGUACUGGAAAGUGUUUCUAGAAAGAA
rnacentral:ncRNA from 1 species